GUUGUGACAGGAGUGUCAUACUGUAUAUAGUCUAUCUUCAGUUACCAAUCCCUGCAGAGUGAUUGGUCUGAUGGUCUCUAUAUCUGUGUUGAUUGACAGGUGCUGUGGCCAGUUCUCUGUGAAGCAGAAACUCCAGGAGGUGAUCUGAAGAAGCAGAAACAACAAGCCCUGGGAAGAACCAGCUCCAACCCUCCAGUGGUCCCCCUGUGGCUACAGGUGAGAACUCUUUACCUCAGCAUUGCUACGUGAGACUCUUUACACCCUUCAGUAGCAUGUGGGAUACAGAUGAGAACUCUUUACACCUUCAGUAGCAUGUGGGCUACAGGUGAGAACUCUUUACACCUUCAGUAGCAUGUGGGCUACAGGUGAGAACUCUUUACACCUUCAGUAGCAUGUGGGCUACAGGUGAGAACUCUUCACCUUCAGUAGCAUGUGGGCUACAGGUGAGAACUCUUGGGCUACAGGUGAGAACUCUUACACCUUCAGUAGCAUGUGGGCUACAGGUGAGAACUCUUUACACCUUCAGUAGCAUGUGGGCUACAGGUGAGAACUCUUUACACCUCAGUAGCUGUGGGCUACAGGUGAGAAACUCUUUACACCUUCAGUAGCAUGUGGGCUCGGUGAGAACUCUUUACACCUUCAGUAGCAUGUGGGCUACAGGUGAG
rnacentral:lncRNA from 1 species